ensembl:lncRNA
GUUUUGUCUGUGUCUUGUCAGUUUAUCAUGUUAAUUAGUUUUUCUUCAGCAUGCUUACAUUUCUGUCUGUCAGAGAGAACACAGGUGUUGUUCUAGUGUGUGUGUUACAGGCGGUGUUAGCAGGAAUAAUUCUGGUAAAUCUGCAUGGGAUUCUCGGGAUGUGCCAGUGCUCUGGGCUUUUGACCGCUUGGACCUGAUCUGACAGUUUUGAGCUGGGUCAUAUUCCAGGAAGUGACUGUUAUAGAGACCUACAUCUCUACACUAAGGCCUUUGUGGGUUACUCUGUGAAAGACAGGAUGUGAU